AAAUAUUGUAAAUUAUAAAUAUAUCCCUACGAAGUUUAACUUUUUGUCUCUAUUAAAGUCCUAAUAUUUUUAAAUAUAUUCCUACCGUUAGAAUCCGUUAGAAAAUUUUAGUUAACCAUAUGUUAAAUAUUUAAUCAUGAUUAGUUUAUAAGAUAACUUGAUAUUUUUGCUCUUCUUAUAUUAUACUAUUGUGACUUUUGGAGGAGUAUAUUUAUGAUGGCAAAAUCGACAUUUCACUUAAAAUAUAAGCAGUUCUGUAAUGAUAACAAAUCAGAGAGAUAUAUUUGAAAAUAUUAGAAUUUUUUUGUAGGAACAACAUAUAAAAGUUGAAAUUUGUAGAAAUAUAUUUGCAAUUCAUUAUAUUUGUAGGGACGUGCAUGCAUUUAACCCUAGUUAUAAUA
rnacentral:lncRNA from 1 species